GACGGAGGAGCGAUGUGGUUUAAUUCGAUGAUACGCGAGGAACCUUACCUGGGCUCGAACGUAAGAUGACUGUAGGUGAAAGCUUACAUCUCUUCGGAGCAUUUUACGAGGUGCUGCAUGGUUGUCGUCAGCUCGUGCCGUGAGGUGUCGGGUUAAGUCCCAUAACGAGCGCAACCCUACCUUUAGUUGCCAUCAGGUAAUGCUGGGGACUCUAAAGGAACUGCCUACGCAAGUAGUGAGGAAGGCGGGGAUGACGUCAAAUCAGCACGGCCCUUACGUCCAGGGCUACACACGUGCUACAAUGGCCGAUACAGAGGGCAGCUACCUGGUGACAGGAUGCAAAUCUCCAAAGUCGGUCUCAGUUCGGAUCGGAGUCUGCAACCCGACUCCGUGAAGUUGGAUUCGCUAGUAAUCGCGCAUCAGCCAUGGCGCGGUGAAUACGUUCCCGGGCCUU
rnacentral:rRNA from 1 species